UACGGAGGGUGCGAGCGUUAAUCGGAAUAACUGGGCGUAAAGGGCACGUGGGCGGGGUUUUAAGUCAGAUGUGAAAUCCCCGGGCUUAACCUGGGAAUAGCAUUUGAGACUGGGAGUCUAGAGUACUUUAGGGAGGGGUAGAAUUCCACGUGUAGCGGUGAAAUGCGUAGAGAUGUGGAGGAAUACCGAAGGCGAAGGCAGCCCCUUGGAAAUGUACUGACGCUCAUGUGCGAAAGCGUGGGGAGCAAACAGG
rnacentral:rRNA from 1 species